UACGAAGGGGGCAAGCGUUGUUCGGAAUUAUUGGGCGUAAAGGGCGCGUAGGCGGUGCGGUAAGUCACCUGUGAAAUCUCCUGGCUCAACUGGGAGCUUGCAGGCGAAACUGCCGUGCUGGAGUGUGGGAGAGGUGCGUGGAAUUCCUGGUGUAGCGGUGAAAUGCGUAGAUAUCAGGAGGAACACCUGUGGCGAAAGCGGCGCACUGGACCACAACUGACGCUGAGGCGCGAAAGCUAGGGGAGCAAACGGG
rnacentral:rRNA from 1 species